rnacentral:lncRNA from 1 species
GUCUUCCCUACUUUUUAUAAUCUUUCACAUCUCUCAAGACAUAAUUUUGAUUUGUAAAUAUUCCUUAUUUUCUCCCCUGUACCCUUUAAAAAUCUCUGGACUAUUUUAUGUUUUCAUUCAUUUACUCAUUCAUCCAUUCUUUUAAAAAUGUUUAGUGAGCUCCUAUUUUGUGUGGAGAACAGGUGUGAGGAUACAGCGGUGGACAGGGGCACGGUUCCUUCCCCGUGGAUAGGCAGACACCAUUUGAACAUCUCUUGGUAUGCUUACCAUCCUUCCCUCCUCUCUUCCUUUCGAAGAUCAGUGGCUCCCCUCUUCCCUAGAAGCUCGGAAAAUCUAGCCAGGUAGAAGAUAAAAACAUGAAAACAAAAACCCCCAAAGGCUUAAGAGUUGAAAGAGAUCUGGGCUCAAAUCACGAUUCUACCACUUAGUAGUGAUACGACUUUGAGCAAAGACCCUCUCUCAGCUUCUGUCCUGACCUGCGGAAUAAGAAUAAGAAUACCUAAGUCAUGGUGCUGUGGGAAGAUGAGGGAAAUCUGGCCCAAAGCUAAGUAAAACCUGUGACGCGUGGCAGACACUUGCCGAGAGCAUUGCCACCAUCACCGUCACACCAUCAAUCUUCCCCACCCUGACAUAUGCCUUGAAUUUUCCUUUCUCAGUGGCUUUUUCUCCUCUCUCUGCAGAAGGAUGAGGCCACAACACAAGACACUGCCAAGAUCAUGGGGGCCCCAUGGGGACUUUUCUUCCCAGCUCCCAGGUCAAGAAAUAAAAAUAAUAAGCUUCCAGUGGGGUGAUAGGAAGAGGUUACCAGCAAAAUCCCAUGAUGGAAAUAAAGAAGAAAAGAAAGACAAAGCAAGAUUCCAGUUUGAGAAAGAUGUGGAGAACAGAUACAAAACCAGGAAGGAAAGCAAAAGACUGUUAGUGAUCACCAAGAUCCUUAAAAAAUGCAAGAGUUCUUACUAAUUCAUCUAGGUGAGCAGAGGUAACAGACAAAAAAUAAGGGAUGGACGGCAUGAGGCCAUAACUGGGAAUCUCAGAGGUAACACAUAGUUAAAUUCUACCUUUGGCUUAAAAAAUUGAAAAAAAAGGAAUUUGAGGAAAUAAAGAAGGGAAAUUGUGUAAAAUGAGCUGUUGAUGGGGAGAAAAAGCAAGUACAUGAGAAACACGGAAAUAUCUACAGAGGCACUCCUCUGUAACAUACAUUCCAAAUUGCUAAGAGAUUAGUUAAUGGAUUUAAAGAAAUCCUGAUGGUUACAUCCAGGGAAUCAUUUGAACGUCGUAUUUCAGGAAACUGUUGGGAGUACGUACAUUUCUUCAAGAUAUUAGAGGGAAAACUAAGGAAAAAAAUGAGCACAUGGGACCUA